rnacentral:rRNA from 1 species
CGGCAACAGCUCAAAUUUGAAAUCUGGAGCCUUCGGCUUCCGAGUUGUAAUUUGAAGAGGAUGUUUCGGUGCGACCUGGGCCUAAGUUCCUUGGAACAGGACGUCAUGGAGGGUGAGAAUCC